rnacentral:rRNA from 1 species
AUUGAACGCUGGCGGCAUGCCUUACACAUGCAAGUCGAACGGUAACAGGUCUUCGGAUGCUGACGAGUGGCGAACGGGUGAGUAAUACAUCGGAACGUGCCCGAUCGUGGGGGAUAACGAAGCGAAAGCUUUGCUAAUACCGCAUACGAUCUACGGAUGAAAGCAGGGGACCGCAAGGCCUUGCGCGAACGGAGCGGCCGAUGGCAGAUUAGGUAGUUGGUGGGAUAAAAGCUUACCAAGCCGACGAUCUGUAGCUGGUCUGAGAGGACGACCAGCCACACUGGGACUGAGACACGGCCCAGACUCCUACGAGAGGCAGCAGUGGGGAAUUUUGGACAAUGGGCGAAAGCCUGAUCCAGCCAUGCCGCGUGCAGGAUGAAGGCCUUCGGGUUGUAAACUGCUUUUGUACGGAGCGAAAAGACUCUGGUUAAUACCUGGGGUCCAUGACGGUACCGUAAGAAUAAGCACCGGCUAACUACGUG